CCUACGGGUGGCAGCAGUGAGGAAUAGUGGUCAAGGGGCGCGAGCCUGAACCAGCCAAGUAGCGUGAAGGAUGACUGCCCUACGGGUUGUAAACUUCUGUUAUAAAGGAAUAAAGUGAGGCACGUGUGCCUGUUUGUAUGUACUUUAUGAAUAAGGAUAGGCUAACUCCGUGCCAGCAGCCGCGGUAAUACGGAGGAUCCGAGCGUUAUCCGGAUUGAUUGGGUUUAAAGGGAGCGUAGAUGGGUUGUUAAGUCAGUUGUGAAAGUUUGCGGCUCAACCGUAAAAUUGCAAUUGAUACUGGCAGCCUUGAGUACAGUUGAGUUAGGCGGAAUUCGUGGUGUAGCGG
rnacentral:rRNA from 1 species